rnacentral:tRNA from 1 species
GCUCUCGUCGUCUAGCGGCCUAGGACAAUAGGUUCUCAUCCUAUAAACCACGGGUUCAAAUCCCGUCGAGAGCA